rnacentral:rRNA from 1 species
UUAAGCAUAUCAAUAAGCGGAGGAAAAGAAACUAACAAGGAUUCCCCUAGUAACUGCGAGUGAAGCGGGAAGAGCUCAAAUUUAAAAUCUGGCGUGCCUCCGGUCGUCCGAGUUGUAGUCUGGAGAAGCGUUUUCCGUGUUGGACCGUGUAUAAGUCUCUUGGAACAGGGCGUCAUAGAGGGUGAGAAUCCCGUCUUUGACACGGACUACCAAUGCUUUGCGAUGCGCUCUCAAAGAGUCGAGUUGUUUGGGAAUGCAGCUCAAAAUGGGUGGUAAAUUCCAUCUAAAGCUAAAUAUAGGCGAGAGACCGAUAGCGAACAAGUACCGUGAGGGAAAGAUGAAAAGCACUUUGGAAAGAGAGUUAAACAGUACGUGAAAUUGCUGAAAGGGAAACGCUUGAAGUCAGUCAUGUCUGCCAGGACUCAGCCUUGCUUCUGCUUGGUGCACUUUCUGGUUUGACGGGCCAACAUCAAUUUUGACCGUUGGAGAAAGGCUUUGGGAAUGUGGCACCUUUGGGUGUGUUAUAGCCCUUUGUCGUAUACAACGGUUGGGAUUGAGGACUGCAGCACGCCUUCAUGGCCGGGGUCGCCCACGUACGUGUUCGCCCACGUACGUGCUUAGGAUGUUGGCAUAAUGGCUUUAAGCGACCCGUCU